rnacentral:sRNA from 1 species
GCCAGGUAUGGUGGUGCAUGCCUGUAAUCCUGUGGCUCAGAGGCAGAGGCAGGAGGAUCGUGAGUUCAAAGCCAGCCUCAGCAACUUAGUGAGGCCCUACUUAGUGAGGCCCUAUGUAACUCAGUGAGACCCUGUUUCUA